rnacentral:rRNA from 1 species
UUGAACGCUGGCGGCAUGCUUUACACAUGCAAGUCGAACGGCAGCGCGGGGGCAACCCUGGCGGCGAGUGGCGAACGGGUGAGUAAUAUAUCGGAACAUAUCCGGAAGUGGGGGAUAACGUAGCGAAAGUUACGCUAAUACCGCAUAUGCCCUGAGGGGGAAAGGGGGGGAUCGCAAGACCUCUCGCUUUCGGAGUGGCCGAUAUCAGAUUAGCUAGUUGGUGGGGUAAAGGCUCACCAAGGCGACGAUCCGUAGCGGGUCUGAGAGGACGACCCGCCACACUGGAACUGAGACACGGUCCAGACUCCUACGGGAGGCAGCAGUGGGGAAUUUUGGACAAUGGGGGCAACCCUGAUCCAGCCAUUCCGCGUGAGUGAAGAAGGCCUUCGGGUUGUAAAGCUCUUUCAGCAGGAGCGAAACGGUCGUUUUUAAUACAGACGGCUAAUGACGGUACCUGCAGAAGAAGCACCGGCUAACUACGU